GCAUGAACCAUACAGCAUCCUGGCUUUUAAUCCCCAUUCAAGGCACUUGCCGUGAAUCAGAGUGGGUAGAAAUGGGAGGUGACAGAACAAGCUCCAACAUGAAAGGCAAAAGAAAUGGGAGGUGACAGAACAAGUUCCAGCAUGAAAGGCAAAAGUCGUUGUAUAACUCUGCCCCAGCUCCAGUUCUUGUAAAAUGACAUCUACACCUAGUCCAGCCCUUAGGUGAGUGACAGCAGAGUACUUCUGCCGUACGAAACUCAUGGCCAGGGUGUCUUCCAGGGGAGUCCUUGAGGAGCAGCUGCUCCUGGUGGCCAGUUACUACAGGGAGAACAGCCAAACACAGCUCUGCCACAGGCCACACCAUUGUUCCUGUUUAGGUCCAUUCCUUCAGUUUGCAGAUAAUAGAGGGCAUCACGUUGCCUGGAUCUUCUCCCUCCUCUGUAAACAUCCCCAGUUCAGUCCGUCCUUCCUGGCUUGGCAUGGUUUCCUGACCCUUCACAUCCAGCUCGCUGUCCUCCUGAUGCAGGUGGAGAGAGCAAUGGAGCCUGGAUUACCACCUGGCGGAAGGCGUCAUCCACCCCCACCACAGGGGCAGGAACACUACUGCCUGUGAAGAAUCCACCUGCUUGCUGGAGGAGGAGGAAAUCAGGCUUUCCUUGGCCUCUGGCUUCCUGAGUGACUUCAGACUCUCCUCCCGAUGGCUCUGUUUGCUGAUCUCUUUGCAAAGCAGUGAACCAGGAAGUGUUUGUGUUUUCAGAUGUAAAACAUGCAAUGACAGGAUCAAAAUGUGGUUGCUUAUAAAAUUUUAGGCUCAUUUUGGGAUCCACAGACUCAUAGACUUUUAGAGCAAAAGGGGACCUUUCAACCAGCUAGCUGACCAAAUCAGGUAAACUGAGGCAGAGAGUAAUUUGCCUAAAGUCUUGCUGCUGGUUCCCUGGCUCCUCCCAGUGCCUUGGGAAAAUGAACUGUAGCAGCCCCUCACCGCAUCCCACACACUCGCACCCUUCAAGCCAGCCUGAGCAACUCACCUUAGAGAUAUUACUAAAAUUUUUUAUAUUACUUUAUUUUAAAAUAGUAAUAAAAUUUUAAUAAAUAUUAUAUGCAAAACAUGAAAUAAUGUGAGUUUCCAAAAGGUUUAAAAAUUCUUCGCAAAUUGCAUAAUCUGAAAUCUGGUCCUACAAGUGAAUUGUAAACUGUUUAUGCU